rnacentral:sRNA from 1 species
GCCGGGCGUGGUGGCGCAUGCCUAUAAUCCCAGUGACUCGGGAGGCUGAGUCAGGAGGAUCACAAGUUCGAAGCCAGCCUCAACCACUUAGCAAGGCCCUAAGCAACUCAGAGAGAACUUGCCUUAA